rnacentral:lncRNA from 1 species
AACGUGACAAAUGCGACAUGGUUCAUGCUUGCUCGAUUGAUUGAUUGCAAUAGACAAAAACUCUUCUUGUCUCUUCACCUCGCCACCGGGGCCGCCAUACAAUUACCUCCAUAAAUCUUGGAUAGAAUGUUAGGAGUAACUAACUCUGCACUGUGCCAUUGCUGUGUGUCAGUGUGUGUAUAUAUAUCCAGCUGCCAGCUGCAGAGUGAAGCAUAAACAUCAGUAGACGACGGCGAUGGCGCCCAAGCGACUUGUCUGCUUCUUGGCCGUGGCCGCCGCGCUAGCCACCACCUGCCACGGGUGGGGCGCCAGCGCCGGCGAUGUCGUGUCGUCGUCGGCGGCGGCGCUCUCGUUCGUGGACAGGCUGAGGCAGAUGAUGAUCCCGGCGGCCGUGGGCGACGGCGACUACUGCGACAGCUGGCGCGUCGGCGUGGAGGCGAACAACGUGCGGGGGUGGACGGCGGCGCCGCGCAAGUGCGACAACUACGUCGAGAACUACAUGCGCGGCCACCACUACCGCCGCGACAGCAAGGUCGUCGUCGACGAGGCCGCCGCCUACGCCGAGGCCGCCGUCCUCUCCGGCGACCCCGCCGCCGACGCCAACGCCACCUGGGUGUUCGAUGUCGACGAGACCGCCCUCUCCCACGUCAAGUUCUACAAGAAGCACGGCUUCGGGUACCACAGAACCGACGAGCCGGCGUUCAUGGAGUGGCUGAUCGCCGGCAGAGCGUCGGCGUUGCCGAACACGGUGACGCUGUACAAGAAGCUGCUCCUCCUCGGCGUCAAGAUCGUCUUCCUGUCGGACAGGCCGGACACGCCGGAGCUGAGGAACGCCACCGCCACCAAUCUCAUCAAGGAAGGCUUCGACUGCUGGGACGAGCUCAUAUUAAGGUCACAUUACAAACUAAUUAAUCUCUGAAUUCCUGCGUGUAGUCCCUCCGUCCUAAAAUAUAAAUAUUUUUAGCAUAGUGACAAAUCAAAUAUUUUAAACUUUAACCAUUAAUAGUAAAAAAAGAUCAAUCAUGUAAAAUUGAUGUUACUAGAUUUAUCAUUAAACAAACUAUCAUGAUAUGUAACUCUUUUUAUUUAAAACAUAUUGUUGGUUAAAGUAGCAUCUCGCAGACCGUGUAUAAGAGUCUAAAAAUGCUUACAUUUUGAGACGGUGCGAGUAUAAAAUUGAUGAAACGAACGAACAGGUCGGAGAACUCGACGGCGACGGGAUCGGUGGUGGAGUACAAGUCGGGGGAGAGGAAGAAGCUGGAGGAGGAGAAGGGGAUGGUGAUCAUCGGCAACAUCGGUGACCAGUGGAGCGACCUGCUGGGCUCGCCGGAGGGCCGCCGGACCUUCAAGCUGCCCAACCCUGCCUACUACAUCGACAACUACAAGCGCGCCGGCGCCGCCGUCCGCGCCGCCGUAGCCAUUACAGCCUCCUCCUCCUCGUCGUCGUCGUGAAGCAAACGAUGCCUAGCUAGCUAUAGUACUCAACUUUGAAUUGCAUUUUUUUUUUCAGACACAUAAGUUCAGUUAAUAAUCGGUCGUGUACGUACCUGCCGUGCUGUGCACUGUUGUAUCUUUUUGGUGAGAUGAUUGAAAUAUCUUUGGGUUUAUCUUUUAUAAUUGGUUUUACCGUGAAUUAAUUAGGCUUGCUGCUAAUGACAAAUUUCUGAGGAG